GAUGAACGCUGGCGGCGUGCCUAAUACAUGCAAGUCGAGCGAACAGACGAGGAGCUUGCUCCUCUGACGUUAGCGGCGGACGGGUGAGUAACACGUGGAUAACCUACCUAUAAGACUGGGAUAACUUCGGGAAACCGGAGCUAAUACCGGAUAAUAUAUUGAACCGCAUGGUUCAAUAGUGAAAGACGGGUGUGGUGUCACUUAUAGAUGGAUCCGCGCCGCAUUAGCUAGUUGGUAAGGUAACGGCUUACCAAGGCAACGAUGCGUAGCCGACCUGAGAGGGUGAUCGGCCACCCUGGAACUGAGCCACGGUCCAGACUCCUACGGGAGGCAGCAGUAGGGAAUCUUCCGCAAUGGGCGAAAGCCUGACGGAGCAACGCCGCGUGAGUGAUGAAGGUCUUCGGAUCGUAAAACUCUGUUAUUAGGGAAGAACAAAUGUGUAAGUAACUAUGCACGUCUUGACGGUACCUAAUCAGAAAGCCACGGCUAACUACGUG
rnacentral:rRNA from 1 species